GUGUUCACUUUGGUAGCAUAUAUACUAAAAUUGGAAUGAUAUAGAGAAGAUUAGCAUGGCCCCUGUGCAAGGAUGACAUGCAAAUUUGUGAAGCAUUUCAUCCCUUU
ensembl:snRNA U6 U6 spliceosomal RNA